rnacentral:rRNA from 1 species
CCGUGCGGCAGCUACACAUGCAAGUCGAGCGGAUGAGGAGAGCUUGCUCCUCCUAAUUCAGCGGCGGACGGGUGAGUAAUGCCUAGGAAUCUGCCUGGUAGUGGGGGACAACGUUUCGAAAGGAACGCUAAUACCGCAUACGUCCUACGGGAGAAAGUGGGGGAUCUUCGGACCUCACGCUAUCAGAUGAGCCUAGGUCGGAUUAGCUAGUUGGUGGGGUAACGGCUCACCAAGGCGACGAUCCGUAACUGGUCUGAGAGGAUGAUCAGUCACACUGGAACUGAGACACGGUCCAGACUCCUACGGGAGGCAGCAGUGGGGAAUAUUGGACAAUGGGCGAAAGCCUGAUCCAGCCAUGCCGCGUGUGUGAAGAAGGCCCUCGGGUCGUAAAGCACUUUAAGCUGGGAGGAAGGGUUGUAACCUAAUACGUUGCAGCUUUGACGUUACCAGCAGAAUAAGCACCGGCUAACUCUGUGCCAGCAGCCGCGGUAAUACAGAGGGUGCAAGCGUUAAUCGGAAUUACUGGGCGUAAAGCGCGCGUAGGUGGCUUGGUAAGUUGAAUGUGAAAUCCCCGGGCUCAACCUGGGAACUGCAUCCAAAACUGCCUGGCUAGAGUACGGUAGAGGGUGGUGGAAUUUCCUGUGUAGCGGUGAAAUGCGUAGAUAUAUGAAGGAACACCACUGGCGAAGGCGAGCACCUG